rnacentral:lncRNA from 10 species
UUCUGCAGCCCUGACCCUGCUCAGGGAGUCUGGUAAGCCAGAGAAAAGAAAAUGCCAUUCGGAAAAUCCUAAGGAAGAGAGGAUGCAUUUCCUCGUCUCCACGUGGAAGCGGAUCACCCUAAAGGUCUUCAUCCUGGUCUUUUUCAUGCUGAGGAGGCUGGGGAGGAGAAGGAAGAGGAGGGGCUGGUCUUGCUGACCCAGGAGCAGCAGAGAAAGGAGAAAAUCCACGUGCAGGGGCUGGCCAGCGCUGGGCUUCUCGGGAAUGGAAUCACACACGGACUGUGGCGUACACAUCACAACUUUAAACCCCGUCCGUACUGAAGCCUGCGUCCGAAUUUCUUCUGUUUUUGUGGCGGAAGGAUAAAUAUUCC